UACGUUCCCGGGCCUUGUACACACCGCCCGUCACACCACGAAAGUCGGUAACACCCGAAGCCGGUGGCCCAACCCGUAAGGGAGGGAGCCGUCGAAGGUGGGAUCGGUGAUUGGGGUG
rnacentral:rRNA from 1 species